GAUGAACGCUGGCGGCGUGCCUAAUACAUGCAAGUCGAGCGAACAGACGAGGAGCUUGCUUUUCUGAUGUUAGCGGCGGACGGGUGAGUAACACGUGGAUAACCUACCUAUAAGACUGGGAUAACUUCGGGAAACCGGAGCUAAUACCGAAUAAUAGUUUAAACCGCAGGGUUAAAAAUUGAAAGAGGUUCUUCCUGUCACUUAUAGAUGAAUCCGCGCUGCAUUAGCUAGUUGGUAAGGUAACGGCUUACCAAGGCAACGAUGCAUAGCCGACCUGAGAGGGUGAUCGGCCACACUGGAACUGAGACACGGUCCAGACUCCUACGGGAGGCAGCAGUAGGGAAUCUUCCGCAAUGGGCGAAAGCCUGACGGAGCAACGCCGCGUGAGUGAUGAAGGUCUUCGGAUCGUAAAACUCUGUUAUUAGGGAAGAACAUAUGUGUAAGUAACUGUGCACAUCUUGACGGUACCUAAUCAGAAAGCCACGGCUAACUACGUG
rnacentral:rRNA from 1 species